rnacentral:misc_RNA from 1 species
UCGUAUAAUGGAGGCAUCGGGGCUGUCGCUGACUUUUCAAAAAGGUUGUGCACGCCCGAGCACUCUCACACAUCCAUCUCACCCCUUUGUGCAUCACCGCGUGGGUCCACCUUUUGCAGGAGGGCUUGCGUUUUCACACAAAACUAGAUACAGUGUAGAAUGUCUUCUUUUGCGAUCACACGCAAUCAAUA